rnacentral:rRNA from 1 species
UGGGGAAUUUUGCACAAUGGGGGAAACCCUGAUGCAGCGACGCCGCGUGAUUUAGAAGGCCUUCGGGUUGUAAAAAUCUUUUCUAUGGGAAGAAAAUGACAGUACCAUAGGAAUAAGGACCGGCUAAUUACGUGCCAGCAGCCGCGGUAAUACGUAAGGUCCGAGCGUUGUCCGGAAUCAUUGGGGGUAAAGGGUACGUAGGCGGGUAAGCAAGUUAGAAGUGAAAUCCUGUAGCUCAACUACAGUAAGCUUUUAAAACUGCUCAUCUGGAGAUAUGAAAGGGGAAGUGGAAUUCCUAGUGUAGCGAUGAAAUACGCGGAUAUUAGGAGGAAGACCGGUGGCGAAGGCGGCUUUCUGGCCAUACUCUGACGCUGAGGUACGAAAGCGUGGGUAGCAAACAGG